rnacentral:rRNA from 1 species
UGGGGAAUAUUGCACAAUGGGCGCAAGCCUGAUGCAGCCAUGCCGCGUGUAUGAAGAAGGCCUUCGGGUUGUAAAGUACUUUCAGCGGGGAGGAAGGGAGUAAAGUUAAUACCUUUGCUCAUUGACGUUACCCGCAGAAGAAGCACCGGCUAACUCCGUGCCAGCAGCCGCGGUAAUACGGAGGGUGCAAGCUUUAAUCGGAAUUACUGGGCGUAAAGCGCACGCAGGCGGUUUGUUAAGUCAGAUGUGAAAUCCCCGGGCUCAACCUGGGAACUGCAUCUGAUACUGGCAAGCUUGAGUCUCGUAGAGGGGGGUAGAAUUCCAGGUGUAGCGGUGAAAUGCGUAGAGAUCUGGAGGAAUACCGGUGGCGAAGGCGGCCCCCUGGACGAAGACUGACGCUCAGGUGCGAAAGCGUGGGGAGCAAACAGG